CUACGGGCUGCUGCAGUGAGGAAUAUUGCACAAUGGGGGGAACCCUGAUGCAGCAACGCCGCGUGGAGGAUGGCGCAUUUCGGUGUGUAAACUCCUUUUAUAUGUCAAGAAAAUGACGGUAGCAUAUGAAUAAGCACCGGCUAACUCCGUGCCAGCAGCCGCGGUAAUACGGAGGGUGCAAGCGUUACUCGGAAUCACUGGGCGUAAAGGACGCGUAGGCGGGUUGGAAAGUCAGGUGUGAAAUCCUACAGCUUAACUGUAGAACUGCACUUGAAACUUCUAAUCUAGAGUAUGGGAGGGGGAGAUGGAAUUAGUGGUGUAGGGGUAAAAUCCGUAGAUAUCACUAGGAAUACCUAAAGCGAAGGCGAUCUCCUGGAGCAUUACUGACGCUAAGGCGUGAAAGCGUGGGGAGCAAACAGGAUUAGAUACCCGCGUAGUC
rnacentral:rRNA from 1 species